CUACGGGUCGCAGCAGUAGGGAAUAUUGGGCAAUGGACACAAGUCUGACCCAGCCAUGCCGCGUGCAGGAUGAAGGCGUUAUGCGUUGUAAACUGCUUUUAUACAGGAAGAAACGACUCUUGCGAGAGGCAUUGACGGUACUGUAUGAAUAAGCACCGGCUAACUCCGUGCCAGCAGCCGCGGUAGUAGGGAGGGUGCAAGCGUUGGCCGGAUUAUUGGGUUGAAGGGUGCGCAGGUGGUUUAUUAAGUCAGUGGUGAAAGACGGUCGCUCAACGAUUGCAGUGCCAUUGAAACUGGUAGACUUGAGUAAAGUAGAGGUGGGCGGAAUUGAUAGUGUAGCGGUGAAAUGCAUAGAUAUUAUCAAGAACUCCAAUUGCGUAGGCAGCUCACUUGGCUUUUACUGACACUCAUGCACGAAAGUGUGGGUAUCAAACAGGAUUAGAUACCCUUGUAGUC
rnacentral:rRNA from 1 species